UCUAAGGUCCUGCAGAACAUCUCAAGGACACAUGUGUCAGGAGUUUGUGAGGGGGACUCAGGCCUGUGUCUGUUUGGUUUGCUUUCCUGUGGUUUGCAAGCUUCCAUUUUCUUUCAUCUCUAACCACCAGGUCCAGUCCCACAGUCUGGGUCACGAUUAAGGAACUGGGCUUCUCAUUGCUGAUACGAAGUCUGAAGGGCUUCAUCAGCAGGGGGCUACCUGUGAGGUCACAAAGGCUCUGAAACCAGCUUUCUAUGACUAUCUGAUCGAGUUGGGGAGACAACAGCCUCACAGUUCUACGGUAAGAGUUCCUAUUUACUGGGUUUACUUUGUGCCGGGCAUGGUUCUAAGGUGCUUUUCAUGUAUUUCUUUUAAUUGUCACAGAAACCCUGUGACUCAGGUCUGCAGUCUCUGUUUUACAGAUGAGGACAGAGAAUUGAAGUAACUAGUUGAAAGUUUCCUGUUUUGGUUGCGGUGGUACUGUUACCAGCCCCUCUUCUGAACUUGAGAUGGGUUGGUACGUCCUGACUUGUGAUCCCCUCUUGACUGCUGCCAAGGAUCUCUGCAUCUCCAAAGCCAAACUUCUGAUUUUGUUCUUCCAAACUAACAUCCUCCUGUGUUUCCCACCUUCGUGACCGGCAGUGCCAUCCAUCCAUGCUGAGCAGGCACAGUUGUGAUUGAGUCUACUUCUGACACCCCACCUCCUCUCACACUGCUGGGACCCUAGAAGGAAGCCAAGGGCAGCGCCUCAGAGGUUCGACCACGUUCUGUGACUCCAAGGGGCUCACACGCAAGACUAGAGCAGCUGUCCAGCAAAAGAUACAACCAUGUCAGAGCAACAGGGUGUUGUGACUAUGGAAGAGAGAGACCUGGGGAUCCUUGAAGAGACUCGUGUGCUGACCCUGGGGCAGUGUAAUCCCAUGAAGCAUAUGAUGGUGUCUAAAUGAGAGUGAACUCUACUGAGACAGUGUGACUUUGCAGGAAAGGUGGGCAUCUGUCUGGGAUGAGCGAGUGCGAGGGGGUGAGACUGCUCAUAUGUCUUCAUGAUUCUGAGCGUGUGACAGUUGGGAACUGGUCAUGCAGCUGUUCGCGUUGUGACGAGCAGGAGGAUGAAGAACUAUGUGUAACACGGUGAGUUGCAUGUCUGUGUGUUAAUCUGCGACUGGGUAUUGAACUGAAUCUGUGUGUGACUUUGCCUACAUGUGAGUGUGUAAGUGACUGGGGGGUCUUUGCAUGUACGGAUCCUGGUUGGAAGAACUGGUGGUCUUGGGGACUGUGAGUUACUCAUCUCUAAGUAUGCACGAGAGCAGAAUGAGAGUCUUUAGAUGCCUUUUCUCAAGAAAAGCAGGGAAAGAUAAACAGACUGUUGGGGCACUGGGUGUCCAGACAGGCUCCACACACAGUGACCACCCACUCCCGCCUCACCCAGUCUUUCCCAUUGUGCUCCAGGAAGGUGGUGUGCAUAUCCUGAACCGCGAGAGAAGGCGAUUUCAGAGAACUGAAUCACCCGAAGCUGGAAGAACAGUCAGCCUCAGUCCAGACAGAGCUUACAGUAGAUAUGAGUCAACAGCUUGUGGAUUGGCUCAGUUACUUUCCUGCUG